rnacentral:tRNA from 1 species
GCCUGACUGGCUUAGCUGGUAGAGCAUGCGACUUUUGAUCUCAAGGUCAUGAGUUCCAGCCCCACGUUGAGUA